CCUAUGGAUGAUGAUGAGAUUGUCUAAUACAUCCUGAAUGGCCUUGAUUUCGAUUACAGUCCACUUGUUUCUUUUGUGCUUGGGCGUGCUGAUGCACCAUCAUUGAGUGAGGUAUAUGCUCAGUUGAUGGCAUAUGAUA
rnacentral:snoRNA from 1 species